GACACGCUGGCGGCGUGCUUAACACAUGCAAGUCGAACGGUGAUCUUGAGAGCUUGCUCUUGGGUGAUCAGUGGCGAACGGGUGAGUAACACGUGAGUAACCUGCCCCUGACUCUGGAAUAACUUCGGGAAACCGAAGCUAAUACCGGAUAUGACACAGAGCCGCAUGGUUUCUGUGUGGAAAGUUUUCGGUUGGGGAUGGACUCGCGGCCUAUCAGCUUGUUGGUGAGGUAAUGGCUCACCAAGGCGACGACGGGUAGCCGGCCUGAGAGGGCGACCGGCCACACUGGGACUGAGACACGGCCCAGACUCCUACGGGAGGCAGCAGUGGGGAAUAUUGCACAAUGGGCGAAAGCCUGAUGCAGCGACGCCGCGUGAGGGAUGAAGGCCUUCGGGUUGUAAACCUCUUUCAGUAGGGAAGAAGCGCAAGUGACGGUACCUACAGAAGAAGCACCGGCUAACUACGUG
rnacentral:rRNA from 1 species